rnacentral:rRNA from 1 species
CCUACGGGUGGCAGCAGUGGGGAAUAUUGCACAAUGGGGGAAACCCUUAUUCAUCUACUCCUCUUUAUUUAAUAAUUAUCUCUUUACUUAAAUCUCUAUCCUCAGUUAAUAAAAUGACGGUACCUGACUAAGAAGCCCCGGCUAACUACGUGCCAGCAGCCGCGGUAAUACGUAGGGGGCAAGCGUUAUCCGGAUUUACUGGGUGUAAAGGGAGCGUAGACGGCAGCACAAGUCUGGAGUGAAAUCCCGGGGCUUAACCCCGGAACUGCUUUGGAAACUGUGCGGCUGGAGUGCAGGAGGGGUAAGCGGAAGUCCUAGUGUAGCGGUGAAAUGCGUAGAUAUUAGGAGGAACACCGGUGGCGAAGGCGGCUUACUGGACUGUAACUGACGUUGAGGCUCGAAAGCGUGGGGAGCAAACAGGAUUAGAUACCCCGGUAGUC